rnacentral:rRNA from 1 species
AAUGAACGCUGGCGGCAUGCCUAACACAUGCAAGUCGAACGAGACCACCGGGUCUAGUGGCGCAUGGGUGUGUCACGCGUGGGAACCUGCCCUUAUGUUUGGAAUAACUCUCCGACAGGGGUGCUAAUACCGGACAAUGUCUUCUGACCAAAGAUUUAUCGCCUUUGGAUGGGCACGCGUUGGAUUAGCUUGUUGGUAGGGUAAAAGCCUACCAAGGCGACGAUCCAUAGCUGGUCCGAGAGGAUGGUCAGCCACACUGCGACUGAGACACGGCCCAGACUCCUACGGGUGGGAGCAGUGGGGAUAUUGGACAAUGGGCGGAAGCCUGAUGCAGCAAUGCCGCGUGAGUGAUGAAGGCCUGAGGGUUGUAAAGCUCUUUUACCCGGGAUGAUAAUGACAGUACCGGGAGAAUAAGCUCCGGCUAACUCCGUG